rnacentral:rRNA from 1 species
GUAUCCCUGACCGUGCAAAGGUAGCAUAAUAAUUUAUCAAUUAAUUGUUGACUAGAAUGAAAGGGGGUGUCCGCCUGGGCCUAUAAACCCUCUGAGCAAAAAAAAAUUACCCGUUUUGUUAAAAUCCAAAACCCAAAAACCAAGACAAAAAGACCCUAUAGAGCUUCACUUUAACAAGUUUAGUUGGGGAAACUAAGAACUUUUCUAACCCUCUAAACCUUUAGACCUUCACCAACUCUCUAAAUAAGCUACCUUAGGGCUAACAGGCUAAUCCUUUCCUAAAGCCCCUAUUUAGGGUAGGCCUUGGCACCUC